CCUUGACAUACUAAGAACUUUCCAGAGAUGGAUUGGUGCCUUCGGGAACUUAGAUACAGGUGCUGCAUGGCUGUCGUCAGCUCGUGUCGUGAGAUGUUGGGUUAAGUCCCGCAACGAGCGCAACCCUUUUCCUUAUUUGCCAGCGGGUCAUGCCGGGAACUUUAAGGAUACUGCCAGUGACAAACUGGAGGAAGGCGGGGACGACGUCAAGUCAUCAUGGCCCUUACGGCCAGGGCUACACACGUGCUACAAUGGUCGGUACAAAGGGUUGCUACCUCGCGAGAGGAUGCUAAUCUCAAAAAGCCGAUCGCAGUCCGGAUCGCAGUCUGCAACUCGACUGCGUGAAGUCGGAAUCGCUAGUAAUCGCGGAUCAGAAUGCCGCGGUGAAUACGUUCCCGGGCCUUGUACACACCGCCCGUCACACCAUGGGAGUUUGUUGCACCAGAAGUAGGUAGUCUAACCGCAAGAAGGACGCUUACCACGGUGUGGCCGAUGACUGGGGUGAAGUCGUAACAAGGUAAGCGUAGAUGA
rnacentral:rRNA from 1 species